ACGGCUAGCGCGGUGGCCGGGCGGGGGGGGGCGGGGCCGAGGCGCGCGCUCUCGCGGGCGGCAGGCGGCGGCGGGAGCCCAGGCGGGAGCCGAGCGCGCGGGCCGCUCCCUCAGCGCGCGCGCGCGCGCCGUCCCCUCCCCUCCCCCCCCGCCCCCCGCCCCCCGUCCCGGCCCGUCCCCGCCGCCAUGUCGGAGGAGAAGCCCAAGGAAAGCGUGAAAACGGAGAACGAUCACAUCAACCUGAAAGUGGCGGGGCAGGACGGCUCCGUGGUGCAGUUCAAAAUCAAGCGGCACACCCCGCUGAGCAAGCUGAUGAAGGCGUACUGCGAGCGGCAGGGCUUGUCGAUGAGGCAGAUUAGGUUCAGAUUUGAUGGACAACCAAUUAAUGAAGCAGACACACCUGCACAGCCUGUUCAGAGCCAGCACUGGCCGUGCUGAGAACGAGGGGAAUUCCUUGGGCUGGCGAGGCUGGAGGCAAGGAACGGGGAGACGCUUGGCCAGGUGACACGCUGCAGAAGACCCCAAACUGCCGCGUUUGGUCCGAGUGAGGAGUGCGGCUCUGAAACCCAUUUCGGUGUUGGCGAUACUCUGAUUGGAGAGAUGAUGGAGCGCCUGCUCUGGAGUGACCGCUGGAGAUGGAAGAUGAAGACACUAUCGACGUGUUCCAACAGCAGACGGGUGGAGUGUGUUAAGACGUGCCGUCCUUUGGAGAAGAGGAGUUUAAGGAUCCUCAUCGCACCUCACUCUCUCAUCUGUCCUUGGAUUUGCUAUUUAAUAGUAAACAAAUGAACAUGCCAAUCACCCGGGAUUCUUCUAAACUUUAGAGGACAUUUACCAAAAUUGCUUGUUGUCUUUGACGUACUGCGUGUGCAAGUCAAAACAGUAUCUGCAGGGAUUAAUCUAUAUCUUAAAUUGGGCCAAUUUGAUUUAAGUUCAGAUUUAACUAAUAUGCGUUGUCUCUCUGCUGUUAUCCUUUUUUGUUUGCUUUUAUUUUUUUUAUUUUUUCUUUAAACCUGUGGCCUAAAUAUUCAUCCGUGUGUUAGGACAUGGAGUGUUCACUCCUGGCUCUUGUCGGUCUCGUCCCUCUGUUUAAUUCUAAUUGUGUAAAUAAUUCAGUAUAUUUUCAUGCCAAUCGUGAGCAUAAAAAAUUUCCUUUUAAGAUACACCUAAGGGAAGGAAGGAAGGAGAGAUGCUGGUUUUAAGUUUUUAGCGCCUGUUGCAAACACAGUUACGUCAGAAUCGUUAAGCCUACGACACAAGGCUGGUACACGCAGAUACAACGCUUAGUAUAGAGUUGGAGUUUAAGAUAUUGCAGAUUUACAUGUGCUUUGUCAUAUUAUGAGGAAAAAGUUGUCUGAAAUAUACUUUUUUAAUGCAGAAAUAAGAUUCGUCCUGAAUUAUUCUCAGAAACGGAGUUAGCAAAGCAGCCGGCCCAAAAACCAGCACUCGUGACGGAGCAGCAAUAUUAUUUUUUUGUUGUGCAAGCUUAUAAAAAGAAAAACCCGUCACGGCAGCUUCGGCCGUUUGCUGGGUGAUGGGCAGAACCUGUCGCCUUCCUCCUGCUCCCCUUAGGACGUCUCCUUAUUUCUCAGGGGGUACUAGAUAUGCGCGGCCUCGGGUUUCUUUUUAAUACUUGUUUUUUGGUAGAGAAACUUGAUAAACGAGAGGGGAAAAAGCGCCUUUUGAUGUCACCGAGCUGUACGUGCAGAAGAGCCGUCAAGAACAUGGUGAGCGAGGGAAGAGAGAUGUGUGUGCACGUUCAGAAAAAAUAAUCACCUGCUCUACUGCCUCCCCAAACUUCCUGGAUUUUAAAUGCGUUUGUGCGACGGGUUCGAGCCGUUCCCAGGAAUCGCGAGGAAGUUGGGCCAGGUUUGCCCGCUGCUGCUCCGUGGGAUCGUUACCCGCCUUUUAGAUUUACCUGAUUUACCUUUGGCCGUCUUCGCUCACCUCCCGCUUGCUGGAAACCUUGCUGGAAAGGCCCUUUAUUUUCUUUUUUAUCGUUUCAUUUUCUUGUAUAGGAGAGGCAGGGGCGGGACGUGCCGUGGAUCUUGCUGUUUAUUCACCGGUUUGUACAUUUAUUUGUUGUCCUUUCCUACUGUACACAGUAAAUCUAGUUUGGUACUCUG